rnacentral:lncRNA from 1 species
CAGGAGUGCUGGCCUCUUUAUCCCUGAAACUGCAGCAGGCACCAGACCCCAAUCCCCUCUGAGUAAGCUGACUUGCUCAGCUCAGGAAGCCUGCAACCUCAAAGGCCUGGCCCACCAAGGAGCCCUCUCUAACAAUGUCGCUGGACAAUGUGGCCUGUUUACCUGUCAGUCAGUACGCUUUCUUUUCAUUUCAGAGGAAAAGAACUCCUGUGGAGCUGCUAAUCCUAGAGUCAACAGUCGACCGAGCUGAGCGGCUUCCCCGGAGAGAACGAAGUGGAACAGUAGAAGAGCUGAGCUGGUCUGAGCUGGUCUGAGCGUGUGCUUAGGGGCAGGUACGGGCCGAGCACUCGGACUUCUUGCUGGGGAUUCGGUGUUGAAAACAAGGACAACCUUGAUCUUCAAAUCCCCCUGCCUCUACCUCCCCAGUGCUGAGAUUACAGGUAUGUACCACCAAGCUUGUUUUAUACAGUGCUGGGAUCAAACACACGCAGUGCAUGCUGGGCAAGCACCCCACCCAGUGAGCUACUCCCCCCAGCUUCAUUCAGGCCCAACUGAUAGGCACCAUUCUAGAGGGUCUGGAGGAGGUAACUGAAGGUCAGGGAAGCUCAUAUCACAUACGUCUAUCUCCCUCACACAGGCCCAUUCCCUUUAUACAAGCCCACUUCCCUCAGACAGGCCCUCCUCUCUUACACAGGUCCACUAUGCUCACAGAGGUCCAACUACCUCACACAGACUUAUCUCCUUCACACAGGCCCACCUCCCUCACAAUGCCUUCUUCACACAAGCCCAGAGGCAACACCUGGGUUUCCUUCAUAAAUGUGCCCUGGGAGGUGUCAUAGCCUCCCAAAGGCCCAUUGAUCCUGGGACCUAAGAGUCGAAGCAUGGCCAGAGCCCAGCACUCUGUGUGAAGUUGCAAGCACGUGGGUGCACAUGUGUGCAGGUCAGAGGUCGAGGCUGGAUGUCUUUGUGGAUCUCUCC